GAGCUUUUUCAACAACAAGGUGGAGGGAGAACUCUCUCCUGUCAGACGGAGAGUCUCAGGAAGUGAGAAGUUUGUGAAUAACAUGGGAAGGCAUGCCAACUCCCACACCGACUGCAGGAAGGCGCGGGCGCUGUAGUCGUCUGCGCUCAGGUGCAGGAAUCCAAUCCAUCCGGACCUCAAGACAAUACACCAGUUGUGACACAUACACACUGUUGCUAUGCUGCAAACAAAUAGUGGAUUUUUGUAAUGCUGUUUUAGGUUAUACAGUAUGUCAAAGUAAAAUGCAGAGCAGGGAACUUCCCUUUAUGUCUUCUUGAGUCUAGACUCCCUUUGUUUUUUAAUUGUAUAGUCACUGUGUUCUUACAGCUGACAGAUGGAAACUCAAUCACAGCAUAAAUUAAGUAUUGAACUGUUUUUGCCAGAAGUAACCUCCCUGUUUUAGUUCAUUGUGACUCUACUUACUACAAUAAAAGGCGAUUUUGACCAGGAUAUUUAUAUAUUAAUAAGUCAAAUAACUCAUUAUUUUUUUUAAUGUUCUAUCCUUAAAAACAGAGUCCCCACAUAUUAUAUAAUCAUCAUACACAUCACAAAAUAAUUAACAAGCUGCACCAUAAAUCGGAAUUUAAAUGCAAUAUCUGAUUUUUUAUCGUGGAAAUCUUAUCUUCAGUUUUACAUGCAUGUAUCAGUUAGCAGUAGCAUUCAAAGGAGGAGUAGUUGGAAUAGUAUUGUAUGAGUCACAGUUUAUUACUUGCUAUGCAUAAAUAACUCCCACAAAGGACAUGUGGAGACAUCUUACGAUUUAGAUGAAUAAGUUAGAAGGAAAGCAUAAUAGCAUUCAACUCAAUAAUCAGUGAUUAAAUAUAAGAUUAUGUCUGUUUAUUUUAAGCUUCAAUUUUCCUGCAGGCUUGUAAGCUCCCUCUGUUUUGUGUAAAUAUUCAUCACAGACUUUGUACUCAAUCCUGCUGAGUUUAAUACAAAAAAAUACCUUAAUCUGGGGCUGAGAGCUCAAAUGAGGUGCUGUAAAAAUACAGACUUUACACGUCACACAAUCAUUCAACAUUGUAAUUACGGAAUAACUGAAAAUGGUUGCAUGAAUGCUUAAAUUAAAAUACAUAAAAAACACAAAGUGGCACUGUUUCAUGUAAGAUUGUAGAGUGAAGUUGAGUCAACCAUUGAAUCAAGCGGUUGCUUUUAGUGAAAACCUCCAUCAAGCCCAUAGAACUCAUCAUUUAUCUUCCUCCUACUGUACACAGAGACAACCAAACCAGCAACCAAACCAGCAAGAUAUGUGCCUGUCCCUUCCCGUUUCUCACAACUUGUGCCAACAUAGCCAAUGAUUAACUGUGAUGAAUUAACAUGGCAUGGACACUUGUAACAGUGAACGGCAGUUACAAGUGGGUUUCACCUGUAAACAUUGCACAAGCCUGCAGAGACUUUGCCCCUUCCCCCACCCACGAGACAGCUAGCAGCACCACCCAGGUUUUAAUGUAUUUUCCCCCUUAUCUAGUUCUCAACAUGGGUCUUAGUUUGGAGUUGUUUUUCUCUGAUGUUUUCAUUACGUGGGUGCUGACAGGCCCACUGAGAUUAUGCAUAACAGCCAUUAAGGUCUGCACAAAUAUACUUGCCUUGACUUGUUUUUGAUUCCAAUGAAGGCAAGAUCACCCAGGGACACACAUAUUGAACAUUUUGGGCCUCGACCCAUGUUAUAUUUUUAGUCUGUUUCAACUCCCCCAUUCCAUAAAAAUCCUUCUGUUAAAUGA